GACGAACGCUGGCGGCAUGCCUAACACAUGCAAGUCGAACGGGGCAGCAAUGCCUAGUGGCGGACGGGUGAGGAAUACGUAGGAAUCUGCCCUUAAGUGGGGGAUAACCAGGGGAAACCCUGACUAAUACCGCAUGAUCUCUUCGGAGCAAAGAGGGGGACCGCAAGGCCUCCCGCUUCUGGAUGAGCCUACGUCUGAUUAGCUAGUUGGCAGGGUAAUGGCCUACCAAGGCAAUGAUGGGUAGCGGGUGUGAGAGCAUGACCCGCCUCACUGGGACUGAGAACUGCCCAGACACCUACGGGUGGCUGCAGUCGAGAAUCUUCGGCAAUGAGCGCAAGCUUGACCGAGCGACGCCGCGUGCGGGAUGAAGGCCUUCGGGUUGUAAACCGCUGUCGUAGGGGAGCAAGAGAUGAGGGUACUCCCUCUGAUUUGAGCGAUCCUAGGAGGAAGGACGGGCUAAGUUCGUGCCAGCAGCCGCCGUAAGAC
rnacentral:rRNA from 1 species